AGCAGCCGCGGUAAUUCCAGCUCCAAUAGCGUAUAUUAAAGUUGUUGCAGUUAAAAAGCUCGUAGUUGAAUUUCGGGGUUAGUAGAUUGGUCAUGCCUCUGGUAUGCACUGGUCUUACUGAUUCCUCCUUCCUGAUGAACCGUAAUGCCAUUAAUUUGGUGUUGCGGGGAAACUGGACUGUUACUUUGAAAAAUUAGAGUGUUUAAAGCAGGCUAACGCUUGAAUACAUUAGCAUGGAAUAAUGAAAUAGGACGUUCGAUCUUAUUUUGUUGGUUUCUAGGAUUGACGUAAUGAUUAAUAGGGAUAGUUGGGGGCAUUAGUAUUCAAUUGUCAGAGGUGAAAUUCUUGGAUUUAUUGAAGACUAACUACUGCGAAAGCAUUUGCCAAGGAUGUUUUCAUUAAUACAAGAACGAAAGUUAGGGGAUCGAAGACGAUCGGAUACCGUCGUAGUCUUAACCAUAAACUAUGACCGACUAGGGAUCGGAUGAUGUUAAUUUUUAAUGUACUCAUUCGGCGCCUUAC
rnacentral:rRNA from 1 species